AGUGAACGCUGGCGGUAGGCCUAACACACGCAAGUCGGACGGCAGCACAGGAGAGCUUGCUCUCUGGGUGGCGAGUGGCGGACGGGUGAGGAAUACAUCGGAAUCUACUUUUUCGUGGGGGAUAACGUAGGGAAACUUACGCUAAUACCGCAUACGACCUACGGGUGAAAGCAGGGGAUCUUCGGACCUUGCGCGAUUGAAUGAGCCGAUGUCAGAUUAGCUAGUUGGCGGGGUAAAGGCCCACCAAGGCGACGAUCCGUAGCUGGUCUGAGAGGAGGAUCAGCCACACUGGAACUGAGACACGGUCCAGACUCCUACGGGAGGCAGCAGUGGGGAAUAUUGGACAAUGGGCGCAAGCCUGAUCCAGCCAUACCGCGUGGGUGAAGAAGGCCUUCGGGUUGUAAAGCCCUUUUGUUGGGAAAGAAAUCCAGCUGGUUAAUACCCGGUUGGGAUGACGGUACCCAAAGAAUAAGCACCGGCUAACUUCGUGCCAGCCGCCGCCGUAA
rnacentral:rRNA from 1 species